UGGGGAAUAUUGCACAAUGGGGGGAAACCCUGAUGCAGCGACGCCGCGUGAGCGAUGAAGUAUUUCGGUAUAGUAAAGCUCUAUCAGCGAGGGAAGAAAAUGACGGUACCUGACUAAGAAGCCCCGGCUAACUAACGUGCCAGCAGCCG
rnacentral:rRNA from 1 species